rnacentral:lncRNA from 1 species
AAACAUCAAGUAUAGUGUCAAUUUAAUCACCAAUUAUAAUGGACCAAAAUUAUAAUCUGUAGAUACAUCGUUGCCACAAUCGAAGCACCACUAUAUAUUAUCAGAAGAAAUACAGUAGAAAAGUAAUUAGAGACAAAGGAACCAUAAAACUACAACUAUACCACUGCCUGACUCCAUCCUGCAUGCCUGUGUUUUCCUAUCUAAACAAUCAUUGUUUUGUUUUUCAAAUCUUAUUUAUCAAAAAGAGUUUGAAUAGUAAAGUUACAAAGCAACCCUUGGCCUUCAGAAACUUUUGUCAACAAUUAGGGUUCC